rnacentral:rRNA from 1 species
GUGAACAGCCAUGCCACCCUGAACAAGCCCAAUCCCGUCUGAUCUCGGAAGCUAAGCAGGGUCAGGCCUGGUUAGAAGUUGGAUGGGAGACCACCUAGGAAGACCAAGUGCUAUAGGCA